UCAGUGCCUGCAACUUCUUCUCUUCUCUUGGAUACAGGUAAUUGUUUUGGCGUGGUGCAGAAGCCCAGGAAAAAGCCCAGACUCUACUUUUAGGAUGAAAUGGUAGAAGGAACAAACAGUGAGAAGAGAUUGGAAAUUUGAAGGCAAAUGCUGGAAUAUUUGAUGUUUUUGUUUCUAGUGUUGCUUUUGAUGCAAGAUGAAUGUAACUUGCAUGUAAAUUUUGAGGUGCUUCUCAAUGUAAAUCAUACGAUAUUGUAUUUGAUUUGAUGCUGUGGUAAAUGGUCUUACAAUUUUGGUAUAUA